GUCUGGCUGGCUGAGUCGGUUAAGCGUCCGAUUUCAGCUCAGGUCAUGAUCUCACAGUCUGUGAGUUUAAGCCUCGCGUCAGGCU
rnacentral:tRNA from 1 species